UACGUAGGUGGCAAGCGUUAUCCGGAUUUAUUGGGUUUAAAGGGUGCGUAGGCGGGAUGCCAAGUCAGCGGUAAAAAUGCGGUGCUCAACGCCGUCGAGCCGUUGAAACUGGCGUUCUUGAGUGGGCGAGAAGUAUGCGGAAUGCGUGGUGUAGCGGCGAAAUGCAUAGAUAUCACGCAGAACUCCGAUUGCGAAGGCAGCAUACCGGCGCCCUACUGACGCUGAGGCACGAAAGCGUGGGUAUCGAACAGG
rnacentral:rRNA from 1 species